rnacentral:sRNA from 1 species
AUGGGAGAUUCGAUGCAGCGGGGGCUGCUCGUACCUCCACGGUCCAUCUGCUUAAGACGGACAACGGUGCUGAUCUGGUGCACAGCAACGGGAAGUCAAAUUAUCGUCGCAGCGUCGUCGACCCCUCCCGAAAUGACGAAGGGCGCACGACACUUUCGGGGAGCGCCCUUCGGACCCGGACGACUUACGAACGCGCGACAGAGUUCCAUCGCUGCAGGUAGUCAUUGA